rnacentral:lncRNA from 1 species
UAGACUAUGAUAUGUUUUAUCUUCUCAGGGCCUAUAUCCUCUGCAUGAAACAGGAAGCAAGCCAAAGGAAUAAGAAGAGAUGUAUGAAGAUAGAAGAGAAGAAGAGAGAUGAAGAAACUGACUUCAGAAAAGAUAAGUGAGUAGCCCACAAUCCCACUUAAAGGGGCAAAGUCGUUCCUGACUCCUAAUAGGUUCUGGUGUUUCUGUUUAAAAGCUCUGCUGCCACAGCAUCGUACAAUCACCACCUCGACAUAUUGUUGACAAGAACUGCCAAGCACCUCGACUUCAUUUCUCACACAAGAAAGCAACACAGAGUUGGAAAUGAUCUUCAGCAUGACACCGAUUAUACUUUUUUUAGCUGGAACUCAGAUACCUUUCCAUUUUUACCCUCUUAGCUAACUCACAGAUAUUUUUUAACAUUCUUCUAGUUAUGGGAAAUGCAAAUAAAAGAAGAAAUGUGUGACUAUGACACAAUUUUAAACAUAUGUCAUCCAUUCCGUACUAAAACUCAUAGUUUUGUU